rnacentral:lncRNA from 1 species
CGACACUCUCUCAUAUCAAUCUCUCUGUUUCUUUGCUCCUGCUAUUAAAAUGUGUAGAUGUGCUGCUUUGCUAAUUGAGUAGUUGGGAAGAUGUGAAAAUAACAUGCUCUCUAGGUGUGUGAUUAUUCCUGUGAGCACAAAUGUAUUUAGAUGUUUAUUUUGUGCUUCAGCUUAUGCUUUUGGGCAGUACAAAUACAUCUUCAAAAAUAAGUACAGAUGCGGUCUUAUAGAACUCUAAUUGUUGUUGGAUGCUAUUCCAAAUGCCAAUGAUCAUGCAAAACGGUUAUUGCUAGAAUCUAGAUGAUAUAUAAUGUAGUUACCAUAGUUUCACCCUAUUUUUAUGGUUCUAAUUAUUCUUGCAUAAGUCUUUAAAAGAAAUGUUCGGUAAAUGUUUGUGAUCAUUGCUUGUAGGUAUUCGUAUGAACAUUAAAAUAAUGGCUUUUCUUGUAGGAGGUUCAAAGAUUGUCGUGGAGCAAGUUCAAGAGAUUAGUUUGGUGAAAAUAAUGUGAUCUUUUGGUCAGGAUUUUGCAUGAUCCAUAGCCAUCAGGCGAGCAGUUCAAGGCCUACUACGCGAGUCGUCCAUCGUCUUCUACGCAUGAUGAGCUUGUUGUCUCUACACAUCUAGCAUCGGAGUAUCUCCUCCCCUUGCCGCACACACAUGCCCGCGGUCGAGCUAUUGUUGUUUGUGAUUGCUGGUCGUGACUCUUACGUUGUCAUUGGACAAAUAAUUUGUUCUGUAACUCUGUACUGAUGGGACCUUCAGCAUAUAUGGUGUUUAGAAUUUGUUUGUAACUCUGUACUGCCAGGACCUUCAGCAUAUAUGGUGAUCUCAGUAUUCUAAUCUGUAGGCCAAAAAUGGUGAACAUUUAAACAUCAGUUCGAUUUAAUAAAACUGAGAAGUUCUACUUUUGGUAAAUAGCUGAACCUGGGUACAUCAAAG